AUACUUACCUGGAUGGGGUCGAUGACUGAUCAACAAGUGUCGUGGCCUAGGCUAGUGGUUCACAUUGCACUUGGUGGAUGCAGUUAUCUAUUACUCUUAGUUGACAAAAUGAUAUAUCAAUGUAAGAUUGAAUAGAAGGCAUCACCAUCCCUCGAA